GGGGAUGUUAUUCGACAGUAAAUACUAGCCUGCAAGGCAGACCAGAGAUUCGCUUGGUUCUCUCUGUAAUCAGUAAUCAAGUCGUAUGCUUCGGUAUACGUAUUGACUAAGCGUCAAUCCAAUUCAAAAACUAGCUAGCAAAGUCGAUGCAUUCUUCGCGAAUGCUUUCGGCACAUUGGCUUUUGCCUAAUGCCAGUUAGUGCAGCUGCACUUAGUCAGCUGCCGCUGUUUAGGAACUCUCCUGAUGGGGCCUACUCGGUGUCAUACAGUCAGGAUGCAGGAAUUAUUCUUUAGUUUGGAGGGUAAUUUCUAAAGACUAAACAAACACUAGACUGGAGUUUUUGCUGGUUUUACAUUCUGGCCUAGUAAAUAACAAAUCAGCUAUGUCUGUACACCUUGGAUGCCUAGAUUUAACUGGACAAGGGCCUAUGGCCCUUCAUCUCCACCA
rnacentral:tmRNA from 1 species